AUGAAAUUCUGUGCAUGGCUGUGGUAUCACAAAGUGGCUGAGGGCAGCCCAGGUGCGUUCACUGGCAGGUAUUUGCUCUAACACCUUGGCACCCAUAAAUUGUAAAAAGGAAACUAAUUUGAAGCAUGAAAUGCCAUGUGUGACUGCAGUGAGUAUCACGAGGUGGCUGAGGGCAGCCUAGGUAUGUUUGCUGUCAGACAGGUAUUCACCCAAACACCUCAGCACUGGCUCUAGCAAAGCUGAGUGAGGCACUUAGCGCUCGUGGUCAGGCACGUGGUAGCCAAGGUGGCUCCCAAAAGGGAACUGGGCAAAAAAAGCUCUGGCCAUUUCAUUGAUCCUGUUGUAGGCUCCCAAGGUCCGGAAAUAUUCCACGUAGGACCAGAAAUCGUUGGAUGAGAAAGGCCAGUAUGGCAAGGCUACAGCUUCCUGGUACAGAUCUUAAAAAAAAAACAACCAAAAUAAAAUGUUGCAGAUUACUGUAAUACAAAGCAUUUUUGUUGAAAGCUUGGUCCUGGGAGCCAAUAUGGUUUGGGGUUCUGGGUUCCCUAAUGGGGCUUAUGGGCUCCUCUGGCAGGAGAGAGGCAGGGAGAGCCUUUGACCCCUCUCCAUCCCUCACUCUGUAGAAGAUGAAGCCAGUAUUCCCUGCUCCUGAUGCAUUAGUGUGACAGAGUGGGACAAGAUGGAGAGGAGGAAUGAAGGCACACCAUCCACAUCUAGGGCAAUUCAAGAAUUCAUCAGGCUGAUUUAAUUGCUAGAAGGCUGCUGUUUAUUUAAAGGCAAAGAGUGGUUGCAAUUGAAAGCCAUUUUUUCUCAUUCCACACAAUUUGCUUUGCCCAAUAUAAAAAUAUAAGGAAUAAGGCACCAUCAUCUAUACUCUGACCCUGCAGCUGCCCGCUCUGCCCACAGAGCUCCCCAGGACUGAGGCCAUACUUCCCUGACAUUGCCUGGGACUGCAGUUGUCCUCUUCUCAGAGGGCUGUAGGAAACAGGCUAAGGGAAGGGAAAGGAAAAGUUUUGCUGCCUGGAAGACAGCUGUUGUAUUUGUGCCUGCUCUAGGAAUAUCAGAAAAAGUGGUAUACUCAUUGAAACGGUUUCAAAUUCAGCAGGAAAACAAAGUCAGUUCUGAAAAUGCAGAAGCUGACCACCCUUGGGCCCAAAUCUGGGCAAACACAGAAGCAUAUAUAACAUAUAAACACUAGCUGAGACCACAUAGUUACAAAUGUCUUUCUGUGCAGCAAAGCUAAAUCUAGUAUUUUGUUUUGAUUUAAAGCCUAUUUAAAUGAAUGGGAGCCAUUCCACUCAGCUUGGGACCAGGGUCUUUAGUAGGAAUUAAGAGCCUUCAACAAUCCUGUUGUCAGAGCUUAAUUUUAUGGAGUAAAGUUUGCAGUACACAGGCCCAGAUGGCACAUAACCAAACAAAUGAACCAGUGAAAUGCUAUCUGCAGAGGAGAACUCACUGUUAAUACCAGCUGACCUUAGAUUCACUUUGCAGGCUACUGCUUGGCCUAGUGUGAAAGAAAACCAUAAUUGCUGGUAAUGAGAGCAACAGAACACUGCCUGAAGAGGGUUGUAUUUUCACAUUGACACACGUUCCUCUGACCGUCUCAGAAGGUUGCUGCAGAAGUAUUUGCCGUGCACAAACGCAGAACUCCUGUAACUUUUUUGAUAGACACUGGUGCUCAGGUAUCUGCCCUGAAAAUUGAAGAUGCAUCUGCAUGUGGAAUCACUCCCUCACGUAAAGGCAUAUUUGUUGCGGGUGCUUUUGGGAACAUACAACCUCAGAUAACAGCAAAGGUAAGAUGCUGGUUACCAAGGGAGGAGAAAGCAGUUGAAACCCUAAUGAUUUUGGGUAAACUUCCUACCAAUUUCUUGGGACUAGACCUCCUGAAGGGAAGGUCUUGGACUGAUGAGGAAGGAAACAUAUGGGCUUUUGGAAAAUAAAUCCCACAUCUGUGUUUACUAAGUCCUGCCCCUGCUCUUCCUCCCUCCCUAGGAACCAAUGUCAAACCUUACCCCUUACCCUUGGGAGCAAGGGAAGGAAUCACUCCAGUUAUUGGAGAUUUAAAAGAAAAAGGAAUAUCCCUCCUGAAAAGGUAAAACCUCCUUCACAAGACGUAAAAUUCCUGGGAAUUUGGUGGAAGGGAGGAAUGGUUUGUAUUCCCCCAGACACACUUACCUGCCUAGACCAACUUAAAACACCAGAGAAUAAAAAAGAUUUGCAGCAUGCUUUAGGCCUGCUGAUUUUUUGGAGAAAACACAUCCCUGAUUUUUCAAUAAUUGCAUGGCCCUUAGAUGAUUUAUUGUGGAAAAAAGCAAGGUGGGAUUGGACCCCCCUUCACGAUGAAGCCCUACAACUCCUGAUUUUUGAGGCCAACACAUACCACUCAUUAGGCCCCAUACACCCUACCGAUCCAGUACAAAUUGAGUGGAGAUUCGCAAGCUCCAGACUGUCCAUACACUUAUGGCAGAAAGGACCUGAUGGUCCCACCAGGCCUAUAGGGUUUUAUUCACGCAGUUUCAAAGAUGCUGAACAAUGAUAUUCUAUCUAGAAAAAAAGACUUAUUUGUGGUGAGUAUUGCUUUUCCUGAAACAGAAAAAAUUGUCCAUCAGCAACCUCUAAUUUUAAGGGGACCCUUCAAGGUCAUCAAGCCUGUUUUGACAGGAACCCCACCCCCUGACGGGGUGGCCCAGCGAGCUACUGUUCGGAAAUGGUAUGCUCAAAUUGAACCACCAUUUAUUGCACCAUUUUUCAGGUAACAGAGGGAGCUCGCAAAAAUCUUCCCUGACAAGAUGAGGUUACUUUAAAAAGCACAGUUGAUUCUCCAGCUUCUGUGAUUGAAGCAUCACCCCCAUACUCAGAACAAUUGCAGAAUGUGUGGUUUACUGAUGCCUCAGCUAAACGGGAAGGUAAAGUUUGGAAAUAUCAUGCUGUAGCUUUACAGGUACAUACAGGAGACAAAAUAAUAACUGAAGAAGACAGUGCACAGGUAGGAGAAUUAGUAGCAGUUUGGAGUGUAUUUAAUCAUGAAGCCGAAACCUCUGACUGUAUAUGUCUACACUGAUUCUUUUGCUGUGUUCAAAGGGUGUACUGAGUGGCUCCCCUUCUGGGACAAAAAUGACUGGGAAGUGAAUAGAGUCCCUGUUUGGCAAAAAGAGAAAGGGCAAGAAAUUCUUGCUAUAGCAAAGAAAGGGAAUGUUUUAGUCGGAUGGGUAGCCUCUCAUCAAGAAAAUGAAACUCCCGCUAGCCGCUGGAACAACAAAGUAGAUGAACUGGCCAGAUUAGCCCCUCUAAGUGUAAAAACUCCUGCAGAGUACUGGGACAGAUUGUUAGAGUGGUUGCAUUUAAAGAGACAGCACACAGGAGCACAAGACCUAUACAGAGAAGCAGGAAGCAGGGGGUGGCCAGUAACUCGAGAGAUGUGCUGCACCUGCAUAUCCUCACGUGAACAGUGCAGAACCCGACUCGAGCGUCAUCCUUUAGAACAACCCCCGUUACAUAUCAGAGACAGAAAAGGGCUGUGGGACACAUGGCAGAUAGACUAUAUUGGACUCUUUCGAAAGUCUGAAGGAAAACAGUAUGUGUUAGUGGGACUGGAAGUCAGGUCAGGAUUAGUGCAAGAAGAAGCUUUCCCUCAAGCAACCAGUACAAACACUCUAGAAGCUCUUAAAAUGUGGUUCAGUUUUUUCCCAAAACCUGUAUCUAUCCAAUCAGAUAACGGGUCACACUUCACAGCUGCCAUCGUCCAGGAGUGGGCCAAGGAAGAAGGAAUCCAGUGGAUAUUUCACACCAUAUUAUCCACAAGCAAAUGGCAUAGUGGAAAGAACAAAUGGCCUGCUUAAACAAUUUCUAAAACCUCAGAAAUCCAGCUGGACUGAUCGGUCCAGUUACAACAUGGGAUGCUGUAAAAAUGGUGAAUGACAGAUGGGGAGUAAAUGGCUGUCCCAGACUCAGAGCUUUUUAUCCACAGCCUCCCUCUCUGAUACUAGCAACAUCAAAACAUGAGAGUAAUCAGAAACCCUCUCACCUUCCUGGACAACCUGUAUUAGUGGAACUACCUUCUGUAGGAGCUGUACCAAUGGUACUCACCACUCCCUUGAACAUAUACACCUGGAAAGCAAAAGAUACUUAUGGAAAAGAACACAAAAUAAGCUCUCGGUGGAUUGUUCCUACAUUUUAAUGUUGGGCCCUAAAAGGGGCCAGACAGAAAUAAGUAACCACACUAGAAAUUUGUUUUAUGCAAUGCAACUGCAAGAAGUGUUAGAUGGAACAUGGGUUACCAACAUCCUAGAGUCUUUUGGACUCACUGGAUGGGGAAAAUGGAUAGCACAAAUUGGAAUAGCAAUUGUCAUUGGAAUUUUGUUCCUAAUUACUGGCAUUGGCCUAGUUAAAUGCAUGAUAGACCGCUUGCUUGUUUCUUUCUCCCCCUCUGUUCGCUAUAUUCGUAUUACCACCACUGAAGAAAACUACCUUGAUGUGCCAAGAAACAAUGUCGAACCACAGGGUGGUGUGUAACAGACAGAUAACAUAAAAAUGCCAAAAAUUAUGUUUCGCCAUUGUUUCUGCCUGUCAGAAACUUCCUACCAAAAAUUCUGUGUCAGUUUUCCACCAGAAGUCCUCACCAGAAUUUUCCCACUGGAGUUUUCCUGCCAAAAGAUCCUGGUAUUGUUCAUGAUUAUCAUAUCUCUGUGAACAUCUGAAUAGGGCUACGUGCCAAGAAACCACACACAACCUCCUCGGAACACUAUAAAAGAUGAGGAAAAGUUUGGGAAAAGCAGGGAAAGAGGAGUGGGAGAGAGAAUUGGCUAUAGCAGCUAAGGAUCUCUCCUCCGCCUCGCCCUCACCUUUUCUUCUGCCACCGUAAGCUGCCUGCCGUCACCAGAGACUGGACCUCUGCCGUCUUGAAGUGGACUGAGACCCACCGUGCCACCCACGUGAGUUUCUCCACCCUAACCGUAUUUCUGAGGGCUGAGAGGUGCAGGUCGAGACCUCCACACAGCCUGGGACACAGCCCGGUGUGAGCGGCGGUGAGGCCCACAGCCUGGCUGCAUUCCAGAGAACUAAGACCCCCUGCAGCUAAAGAGAUAACAUCGAAAGCGGCAGAGACCAGAGAAAAAAAAGGCAAAAAACUGCUUCUCUCUCUCUCCCCGCCACCCUACAGACCAGCUCGGAUGAAAAGGUAGUUUUGGUGGUAUCUUUUCUCUGCUUCUAAAAGUAAUCUUAGCAUUUUCCAACCUUUUCUUAUUUUUUCCUCUUUCUCUUUGCAUCUCUUAGCAAUUAAUAAAAAACAGUUUUGGUAUCAACA